rnacentral:rRNA from 1 species
UUAAGCGACUAAGCGUACACGGUGGAUGCCCUGGCAGUCAGAGGCGAUGAAGGACGUGCUAAUCUGCGAUAAGCGUCGGUAAGGUGAUAUGAACCGUUAUAACCGGCGAUUUCCGAAUGGGGAAACCCAGUGUGUUUCGACACACUAUCAUUAACUGAAUCCAUAGGUUAAUGAGGCGAACCGGGGGAACUGAAACAUCUAAGUACCCCGAGGAAAAGAAAUCAACCGAGAUUCCCCCAGUAGCGGCGAGCGAAUGGGGAGCAGCCCAGAGCCUGAAUCAGUGUGUGUGUUAGUGGAAGCGUCUGGAAAGGCGCGCGAUACAGGGUGACAGCCCCGUACACAAAAAUGCACAUGCUGUGAGCUCGAUGAGUAGGGCGGGACACGUGGUAUCCUGUCUGAAUAUGGGGGGACCAUCCUCCAAGGCUAAAUACUCCUGACUGACCGAUAGUGAACCAGUACCGUGAGGGAAAGGCGAAAAGAACCCCGGCGAGGGGAGUGAAAAAGAACCUGAAACCGUGUACGUACAAGCAGUGGGAGCACGCUUAGGCGUGUGACUGCGUACCUUUUGUAUAAUGGGUCAGCGACUUAUAUUCUGUAGCAAGGUUAACCGAAUAGGGGAGCCGAAGGGAAACCGAGUCUUAACUGGGCGUUAAGUUGCAGGGUAUAGACCCGAAACCCGGUGAUCUAGCCAUGGGCAGGUUGAAGGUUGGGUAACACUAACUGGAGGACCGAACCGACUAAUGUUGAAAAAUUAGCGGAUGACUUGUGGCUGGGGGUGAAAGGCCAAUCAAACCGGGAGAUAGCUGGUUCUCCCCGAAAGCUAUUUAGGUAGCGCCUCGUGAAUUCAUCUCCGGGGGUAGAGCACUGUUUCGGCAAGGGGGUCAUCCCGACUUACCAACCCGAUGCAAACUGCGAAUACCGGAGAAUGUUAUCACGGGAGACACACGGCGGGUGCUAACGUCCGUCGUGAAGAGGGAAACAACCCAGACCGCCAGCUAAGGUCCCAAAGUCAUGGUUAAGUGGGAAACGAUGUGGGAAGGCCCAGACAGCCAGGAUGUUGGCUUAGAAGCAGCCAUCAUUUAAAGAAAGCGUAAUAGCUCACUGGUCGAGUCGGCCUGCGCGGAAGAUGUAACGGGGCUAAACCAUGCACCGAAGCUGCGGCAGCGACGCUUAUGCGUUGUUGGGUAGGGGAGCGUUCUGUAAGCCUGUGAAGGUGUGCUGUGAGGCAUGCUGGAGGUAUCAGAAGUGCGAAUGCUGACAUAAGUAACGAUAAAGCGGGUGAAAAGCCCGCUCGCCGGAAGACCAAGGGUUCCUGUCCAACGUUAAUCGGGGCAGGGUGAGUCGACCCCUAAGGCGAGGCCGAAAGGCGUAGUCGAUGGGAAACAGGUUAAUAUUCCUGUACUUGGUGUUACUGCGAAGGGGGGACGGAGAAGGCUAUGUUGGCCGGGCGACGGUUGUCCCGGUUUAAGCGUGUAGGCUGGUUUUCCAGGCAAAUCCGGAAAAUCAAGGCUGAGGCGUGAUGACGAGGCACUACGGUGCUGAAGCAACAAAUGCCCUGCUUCCAGGAAAAGCCUCUAAGCAUCAGGUAACAUCAAAUCGUACCCCAAACCGACACAGGUGGUCAGGUAGAGAAUACCAAGGCGCUUGAGAGAACUCGGGUGAAGGAACUAGGCAAAAUGGUGCCGUAACUUCGGGAGAAGGCACGCUGAUAUGUAGGUGAAGUCCCUCGCGGAUGGAGCUGAAAUCAGUCGAAGAUACCAGCUGGCUGCAACUGUUUAUUAAAAACACAGCACUGUGCAAACACGAAAGUGGACGUAUACGGUGUGACGCCUGCCCGGUGCCGGAAGGUUAAUUGAUGGGGUUAGCGGUAACGCGAAGCUCUUGAUCGAAGCCCCGGUAAACGGCGGCCGUAACUAUAACGGUCCUAAGGUAGCGAAAUUCCUUGUCGGGUAAGUUCCGACCUGCACGAAUGGCGUAAUGAUGGCCAGGCUGUCUCCACCCGAGACUCAGUGAAAUUGAACUCGCUGUGAAGAUGCAGUGUACCCGCGGCAAGACGGAAAGACCCCGUGAACCUUUACUAUAGCUUGACACUGAACAUUGAGCCUUGAUGUGUAGGAUAGGUGGGAGGCUUUGAAGUGUGGACGCCAGUCUGCAUGGAGCCGACCUUGAAAUACCACCCUUUAAUGUUUGAUGUUCUAACGUGGACCCGUGAUCCGGGUUGCGGACAGUGUCUGGUGGGUAGUUUGACUGGGGCGGUCUCCUCCUAAAGAGUAACGGAGGAGCACGAAGGUUGGCUAAUCCUGGUCGGACAUCAGGAGGUUAGUGCAAUGGCAUAAGCCAGCUUGACUGCGAGCGUGACGGCGCGAGCAGGUGCGAAAGCAGGUCAUAGUGAUCCGGUGGUUCUGAAUGGAAGGGCCAUCGCUCAACGGAUAAAAGGUACUCCGGGGAUAACAGGCUGAUACCGCCCAAGAGUUCAUAUCGACGGCGGUGUUUGGCACCUCGAUGUCGGCUCAUCACAUCCUGGGGCUGAAGUAGGUCCCAAGGGUAUGGCUGUUCGCCAUUUAAAGUGGUACGCGAGCUGGGUUUAGAACGUCGUGAGACAGUUCGGUCCCUAUCUGCCGUGGGCGCUGGAGAACUGAGGGGGGCUGCUCCUAGUACGAGAGGACCGGAGUGGACGCAUCACUGGUGUUCGGGUUGUCAUGCCAAUGGCACUGCCCGGUAGCUAAAUGCGGAAGAGAUAAGUGCUGAAAGCAUCUAAGCACGAAACUUGCCCCGAGAUGAGUUCUCCCUGACCCUUUAAGGGUCCUGAAGGAACGUUGAAGACGACGACGUUGAUAGGCCGGGUGUGUAAGCGCAGCGAUGCGUUGAGCUAACCGGUACUAAUGAACCGUGAGGCUUAACCU